ensembl:lncRNA
CCUCGUCACAGCCACAUUACAGGACUUCACCGGCUCCACCAGCUCCAACAGCCCUGGGAGGUCUCUUCCCAACACCACUGGAUAUGGACCACAGACAUGGAGAAGGCUAAGGAUCCAGACCUUCACAAGCAAAACAACCAGGAAGAGCAACAAGACCGAAGCAAAACCAUUACAGACCAGCAGGUCCUGACCCAAGCCCAGAAUGGAGCUCAGGACUCGGGGCAGCACCAGGAUGCCCUUCAUGCCCUGGAGGAGUGUGUGAGUCUGCUAGAAGAGUUCCAGAGAGCCGUGAGGAAGAAGGAUGCACUCAUCACUGUACUCCUGAAGACACAGAAACAGGGAGCAGGAGACGGGCUUAAGGUCCAUCCAGCCUACCCAUCCAAAGUUCAGUGUGACACUACUGAGUCUUCAGAGGACCAGACUAGCAGAAGCCCUAGUCAUUCAUCUCCUGACCCCUGUCAAUCAUCCUCUGACAUAUGUCAAUCAUCCCCUGACAUAUGUCAAUCAUCUCCUGACCCCUGUCAAUCAUCCUCUGACAUGUGUCAAUCAUCCACACAAACUGUGGAGGUCCAGACUGAAGCAGUAGACCAGAGCAAUGGACCUGCAGAUACCCACAAUAACCAGACAGAGGCAUGUGCCAGGACCCCAGUCAGGCAGAUGAACGGAAGUGGAGGAGAGGAAGAGGAAGAUAGAGAGGAAGAGGAAGGUAAAGAGGAAGAGGAAGUGACAAGCUCCUCCAGGCUCCUCCCACCCAGCCUGAGAAAGAGGCUGCAGGAGAUCCAAGUGCUUGAUAACGUCAUCGCCAGGAAAGACAAGAUCAUCAGAGAGCUGAGCAGUCAUAAUGCGGUGCUGAUGGGGAGUGUCCAGAGACUGACGGAGGAGAAGUACAGACAGAAGGAGAUGCUCUCAGAGGCCCUGCUCCUGAUGAGAGUCCAACACACACACACACACUAACACACACACACUAACACACACACACACACACACACAUACACACACACAGACC